rnacentral:rRNA from 1 species
AUCUGGGCGGCGGAAUUCAAGACGGCUGGCGAGUCUCGCGCUCGUGCGGCCGUUUGAUAUUUCCGUCGCCGUGUCAGACGUCGCGACCUGUUUGUCGUCGGUCCUUGCUCGGAGGAAUCGCGAUCGAGUUCGUUGCGGGCGCGCUUCGGUGUGCUUCGCGGCGAAGACGCGACUCUCUGACUGACGACGGACAGUAAGCAACGGUGUCCGGCGUCGUGUCUCGCACUCGGCGUCGGUGCCGGUCAGCGACGAUUUCUUCGGGCCUCUUUCCGACCCGUCUUGAAACACGGACCAAGGAGUCUAACAUGCGCGCGAGUCGCGGGGUUUCGAGCGUACCACGGUGCGCUCGUUACUUCCGAAACCCGUACGUUGAAGGCGUAAUGAAAGUGAAUAGGGAAGAUGGCGUUCCGAGUCCACGUACCGUGAUCGAGUAUCGCGGCCGGACGUCCGCACUCCCGGGGCGUCUCAAUGGUUCGCCACGGAUGCGGACGAUCGUCUUUCGGGGCGGUCGUCGGUCUGUGGCGGUCCGA